CGAGAAGGUGUAGCAAUACACUUGUAAAGCGGCGAACGGGUGAGGAAUACAUGGGUAAUCUACCAUCGAGUGGGGAAUAACCAACCGAAAGGUUGGCUAAUACCGCGUACGCCUCCGAGUCUUCGGGUUCGGAGGGAAAGCUGCACUGUGAGUGUAGCGCUCUUUGAUGAGCUCAUGUCCUAUCAGCUUGUUGGUGAGGUAAUGGCUCACCAAGGCGACGAUCCGUAACUGGUCUGAGAGGAUGAUCAGUCACACUGGAACUGAGACACGGUCCAGACUCCUACGGGAGGCAGCAGUGGGGAAUAUUGGACAAUGGGCGAAAGCCUGAUCCAGCCAUGCCGCGUGUGUGAAGAAGGUCUUCGGAUUGUAAAGCACUUUAAGUUGGGAGGAAGGGUAGUAACCUAAUACGUUGCUACUUUGACGUUACCGACAGAAUAAGCACCGGCUAACUUCGUG
rnacentral:rRNA from 1 species